AUACGGAGGAUGCGAGCGUUAUCCGGAUUUAUUGGGUUUAAAGGGUGCGUAGGCUGUUCGGAAAGUCAGGGGUGAAAGCCCGGCGCCUAACGCCGGAACUGCCUUUGAUACUUCCGAGCUGGAAUACGGAUGCCGUGGGAGGAAUGCGUAGUGUAGCGGUGAAAUGCAUAGAUAUUACUCAGAACACCGAUUGCGAAGGCAUCUCACGAAUCCGUCAUUGACGCUGAGGCACGAAAGCGUGGGGAUCAAACAGGAUUAGAUACCCUGGUAGUCCACGCAGUAAACGAUGAUGACUAACCGUCGGCGAUACACAGUCGGUGGCCAAGCGAAAGCGAUAAGUCAUCCACCUGGGGAGUACGUUCGCAAGAAUGAAACUCAAAUGAAUUGGCGGGG
rnacentral:rRNA from 1 species